rnacentral:rRNA from 1 species
UACGAAGGGGGCUAGCGUUAUCCGGAAUUAUUGGGCGUAAAGCGCGCGCAGGCGGUUUCUUAAGUCUGAUGUGAAAGCCCACGGCUCAACCGUGGAGGGUCAUUGGAAACUGGGAACUUGAGUGCAGAAGAGAAAAGCGGAAUUCCACGUGUAGCGGAUGAAUGCGUAGAGAUGUGGAGGAACACCAGUGGCGAAGGCGGCUUUUUGGUCUGUAACUGACGCUGAGGCGCGAAAGCGUGGGGAGCAAACAGG